ACUUAUUCUCAGGGCGGGGUGAGAGUCCCCACCGGCGGUAUCCCAAUGAUCAAUGGGGAGCCCGCGAGCGCCCUUCUUUUUUGAAGGGGUCAGCAGAACUGGUGAGAGGCCAGUGCCGACGGUAUAGUCCGGAUGGAAGAGGAUAAGA
rnacentral:ncRNA from 2 species